rnacentral:rRNA from 1 species
UACGUAGGGGGCUAGCGUUGUCCGGAAUCAUUGGGCGUAAAGCGCGUGUAGGCGGUUCGGUAAGUCCGCUGUGAAAGUCGGGGGCUCAACCCUCGAAUGCCGGUGGAUACUGUCGGGCUAGAGUGCGGAAGAGGCGAGUGGAAUUCCUGGUGUAGCGGUGAAAUGCGCAGAUAUCAGGAGGAACACCAAUGGCGAAGGCAGCUCACUGGGACGGUACUGACGCUGAGACGCGAAAGCGUGGGGAGCAAACAGG